rnacentral:tRNA from 1 species
GGGCCUAUGGUUUAGUGGUAUAACGCUUGAUUUGCAUUCAAGAGGUCCCGGUUUCGAUUACCGGUGGGUCCA